CACUACCCGUAAAAGAGCCCAGCAACUAUGGAAUAAGUGAUUUAAAGAAGAUAUUGGACAGGAAGGGAGAUAUUAGAUUCGAGAAGACACAAGCAAGCCAGAGUGAGCCAGACAGUGCAGAGGAUAUUGUGGACUCGAUCAUUUCAGAUCCAUCAGCACUUGAACCUGUUCAUGAUUUAAGUGAAGGUGAGAACUCUGCUACAGAAGAACAAGUGGGUCCUGCAAUACCAUUAG